rnacentral:misc_RNA from 1 species
GCCAUUGCAGGGAUUAUGGAAGGGAAUUUCUGAUGACAUGAAAUUGGAAUUUUAUCUUGUAGCAUAUGAUGGAGUUGGCAUCUUUUGCCGAAGGGUUGGGGACUUGUGUGAACAGAUUUCUAGUCCUACACCAGCGUUCUGGACAACAAAUCCUGCAUUUAUCGAGUCUCCAUUUUCACCUGAAGAAGAAUAUCUAUACAAUAGUCGGAUACAUCUUCAGCCGCCUAUGACAUCCAAGGAUAUAAAUUGGCAAUACCCUCCGAUGGAUAAUGAGGUAGUCUCUCGCAUUAUGUACAUAAACUCGCGUUAUGAUUUAUUCAUCCCAGGCUUGGCAGGAAUUUCUGAAAAUCCUUGGUGUAUUGAGGGAAGGAUUUGGCAGUACAAGAAUGGGACAUUUGGUUUUGGGUUUCUU